rnacentral:lncRNA from 1 species
UUUUUUCAUAUUGAAAUUCACAACCACACUUUUAUUCACAGCACAACUUAUAGUAUAUUUACAAUACUAUUUACAGCAUAAAAGUCUCACACCUAUCUACACUAAGAUAGGGUUCACAAAGGGAUGGGAUCUCAAUCCACAUCUGGGUUGUACUCAAGAUCCCUCUCUGGAUCAUUUUCUACUUCAAAAUACUUUCUCCCCUUCAGGUUCUUCCUCCUCAGCUUUUCCUCAGGGUCCUAAAAUGGUUAUUCAAUAACCAAUGAGACCACGUAUCAGCGAGUCUUACCCCUAAGACCCGAUUAGUAAACUAAUACGCCAAACGGUUGCCUAAGCACAACACAAGUUAGAAGACUUACCUUGGCCUCAGUUCCAACCUGCAAUUCAAGGUUAAACACAGAUAUUCAAGUAAUUCAUGACAUCCGAUCAAGCACUGGCCAAUCGACUAAGUCGAUUACAUGUCAACCAGACCCUCUCUAGGUCAUUCCCACUCAUACCACGAUUUCCCAGUGGUGUACUCAUUCAUCAAAUCACAUGUGUUUCUCGGGCGUCGUUUUCGCCAAUGACAUACUGAUCACCGACACCGUGCAUUCUUUAAGGCGCCGUUUUCACCAGUGAUAUCCUCGAUCACCGAACCACGUGUCCUUUCUAGGGUGCUGUUUUCGCCAAGGUGACAUCGGCUAUAGACAACAUCGUGAGUUCUUUAAGGCGUCGUUUUCACCAGUGAUAUUUCCUUAAUCACCGAACCACGUUUGUCCAUAAGUCAUUUACGUGCGUUCUUUAAGGCGCCGUUUUUGCCAGUGAUACUUCCAAUCACCGAACCACGUAUAUCCAAUAAUAUCGUACCUGAUUGGUCUCAACCAAUAAUGUUCUCAGUUAGCUCUCACUAUUCUCUCUACUAUAUAGCCCAUCAACGUACUGGCGCUAUAUAUCCAUGCUCGGCCAUUACCAAUCAAAUACUCAAUAACAAACAAUUUGGGACAAUUCCUCAAAUUUCACAAUUUAAAUCAAUUCCAUAAAAAUUGAAGCUCAAUUAAAUAAACGGACUGCACCACGACAAUCGGCACGAAAUUCCGGUCACCGGCCAUCCCGGUUGAAUUUUCGGAAAAAUAAUUAAUUAAAUAAUUAAUUUCGAAAAAUAAAUAAAUAAAUAUUAAAAAUCUAAUUUAGGCUCGUAAUGCCUGAUUGGAGCCCGAAACCGGUCGGGAAAAAUCCUGAGAUACAUUCAAUAAAUAAUAGAGCAUUUCUACUCCCUAAUGGCUAUAGCUAACCACCUAACAUGCAUCCUCAAGUUACUAAUUUAAUUGUUCUAAUCUAAUCUAACCACCUAAUUGCAAUUAAUUAAAUCUAACCAACCCUAAGAAUAAUUAGCAAACUAAUAAAGCAUUAGUGAGUAAAACUCACUUGAUCAAAAGCGGGGAUCGAAUCACCGCAACGGCGACGCGACGGGGGCCGAAAUCGGACUUUCGACGACACCGGCGGACUUGAACCGGGCCUUAGGCUUGGCCCAACAAAUCUCAGCCCAAAACUAGGCUUGAAGACUACAAUUGCUGAAAAUGGGCUUCAAUUUGAUUUACUGGAAUUGGGCCCACUGUUGAGCUUUAAUUGGUGCGGUCUUGGAAUUGGGCUGCAGCUGGUGAAUUUCGACUGGGCUUGAAGACAACUGGGCUGCACGUUGAACUGGAGUGGCUGAAUUGGACUGGACUGGGCUACAACAAAAAGGCCCGAAUUGUUGAUGAAGAUGGGCCCACAACGCUGGACUCCGGUGGGCUUCGCACGGUCAGAUGAAGGCUGUUCAAUUUCACACUCGCAGCUUCGUGUAGUUGAUGGCGAAGACACGCGAACGCUGGUCAACGAAGGCUUCACCCGGUGGAAAUUCGACUGAGAUGGGGGCGUGCCGGCGUGGACGAUGGAGGAAAAACAGCGUCGAAGAAGCGGUGCCGUUGAUCUUCAAGCGUUGCCGCUCUUCAAGCUUCGCUGGCGGACGUGUGGAGUGGAGCUGAGGGACGCGCGGAGGAAAGCUGCAGUGUUCUAUCGCUGCUGAGUGGGUAAUCGGGCUGUGCGGACGUGGCCGAAGCUGCCGGAAAUCACGACUUCGCUGGCGUGUGGCUUCUUCGGUGGUGUUGCUCGGUCAACAAGUGCUUCGCUCGGUGGAGAAUUUGACCGAGAUGACGUGUGGAGAAGCACCUGGCUUCUCUGGACGUCGUGGCCGUGCUGACAAAAGGGCGUGGAAGAUGGAGCAGCUUCGGUUGCUGCCUCGGCGUCUUCAACUCGAUUGCCGACUGGUACAGCGAAGUGGAAGAUGGAUGGAGUUGAGGACUUCGGUGGGAUCUUGGCGUCGAAGCCAGUCAAUUCUUUUUGUUGAAAUGGACUGUUCGUGUGGCAGAGGGAUGAACGAAAAUGGAGAAACACUUUGGUGGAAUUCGUAGGCUUCCUCGGUGAGAGAGAGAGAGAGUUCACGAAUAUGGAUAGGAACGGAGGAGAAGGCAGAAGCGGUGAUGAUGGAGACAGCGACGGGAGGGACCCAAAAUCACAAACCUAAGCCAUUCCCUUAAUUGCUUGUCCCCCUCCUUUUUC